CGUAGGCCGUUGCUUGGUUAAGCAAACGGAAUCCAUCGGAGCUGUAGCGAAACCGAGUCUUAAUUGGGCGAUUGUCACCGCUUAUGGACCCGGACCUGGGUGAUCUAUCCAUCAUCAGGAUGAAGCUUGGAUGAAACUAUGCAGAGGUUCGAAUCAACUGAUGUUAAAGAAUCAGCGGAUGAGUUGUGGUUAGAAAUGAAAUGUCACUCGAACCCAGAGCUAGCUGG
rnacentral:ncRNA from 1 species